AAGACAAACUGAACACUAAAAUACAAAAACGUACCGUGAAUAACCGAAACCAAAAACAGUACUGUGUGGUGAACAGACACAGAUACAGAAACAAUCACCCACAAAAUACCCAAAGAACAUGGCUGCCUAAAUAUGGUUCCCAAUCAGAGACAACGAUAAACACCUGCCUCUAAUUGAGAACCAAUCUAGGCAACCAUAGACUUAUAUACACCUAGACUAGAAAACACCCCAUAAACAUACAAAAUGUUUUGGAAUAUUUUUAUUCUGUACAAGACUCCUUCUUUUCACUCUUUCAUUUAGGUUAUUAUUGUGGAGUAACUACAAUGCUGAACCAUUCUCCGUUUUCUCCUAUCACAGCCAUUAAAUUCUAAUUGCUGAAAAUCAACAAGACCAACAUUCCUUUGUGACCCUUUCCAUUUGCCACUUCUGCUUGAAGAAAAUAACAACUAUGUUU
ensembl:lncRNA